CAGUACGGUGGCCGGCCGGACGACGAGCCGGCCCGGUCCCGGCAGUACGGUGGCCGGCCGGACGACGAGCCGGCCCGGUCCCGGCAGUACGGUC
rnacentral:tRNA from 1 species